rnacentral:rRNA from 1 species
UACGUAGGUGGCAAGCGUUGUCCGGAUUUACUGGGCGUAAAGAGCGCGCAGGCGGUCGUACAAGUCGCGUGUGAAAGCCCCCGGCUCAACUGGGGAGGGUCACGCGAUACUGUUCGACUCGAAGGCAGGAGAGGGAAGCAGAAUUCCCGGUGUAGUGGUGAAAUGCGUAGAUAUCGGGAGGAAUACCAGUGGCGAAGGCGACACGCUGGGCCGUACCUGACGCUAAAGCGCGACAGCAUGGGGAGCAAACGGG